AGAGUUUGAUCCUGGCUCAGAGCGAACGCUGGCGGCAGGCUUAACACAUGCAAGUCGAACGGGCACCUUCGGGUGUCAGUGGCAGACGGGUGAGUAACACGUGGGGAACGUACCCUUCGGUUCGGAACAACUCAGGGAAACUUGAGCUAAUACCGGAUACGCCCUUCGGGGGAAAGAUUUAUUGCCGAUGGAUCGGCCCGCGUCUGAUUAGCUAGUUGGUGAGGUAAUGGCUCACCAAGGCGACGAUCAGUAGCUGGUCUGAGAGGAUGAUCAGCCACACUGGGACUGAGACACGGCCCAGACUCCUACGGGAGGCAGCAGUGGGGAAUAUUGGACAAUGGGCGAAAGCCUGAUCCAGCCAUGCCGCGUGAGUGAUGAAGGCCUUAGGGUUGUAAAGCUCUUUUAUCCGGGAAGAUAAUGACUGUACCGGAAGAAUAAGCCCCGGCUAACUUCGUGCCAGCAGCCGCGGUAAUACGAAGGGGGCUAGCGUUGCUCGGAAUCACUGGGCGUAAAGGGCGCGUAGGCGGCCAUUCAAGUCAGAGGUGAAAGCCCAGGGCUUAACCCUGGAAUUGCCUUUGAUACUGUUUGGCUUGAGACCGGAAGAGGUUAGUGGAACUGCGAGUGUAGAGGUGAAAUUCGUAGAUAUUCGCAAGAACACCAGUGGCGAAGGCGGCUAACUGGUCCGGUUCUGACGCUGAGGCGCGAAAGCGUGGGGAGCAAACAGGAUUAGAUACCCNNGUAGUCC
rnacentral:rRNA from 1 species